rnacentral:rRNA from 1 species
GAGCACGUAGGUGGGUUUGUAAGUCAGAUGUGAAAGCCUUCUGUUCAACGGAAGAAUUGCAUCUGAAACUACGAGUCUUGAGUGUAGGAGGGGAGAAUGGAACUUCUGGUGGGGCGGUGAAAUGCGUAGAUAUCAGAAGGAACGCCGGCGGCGAAAGCGAUUCUCUGGCCUAUUACUGACACUCAGUGUGCGAAAGCUAGGGGAGCAAACGGGAUUAGAUACCCCGGUAGUCCUAGCCGUAAACGAUGGGCACUAAGUAGAGGGGUUUU